AUGCGAGUCGAGCGUCUCUAGCUAUGUUGGGACGCGGCAGACGGCUCAGUAACACGUGGCUAACCUACCCUCAGGACGAGGACAACCCGGGAAACUGGGGCUAAUACUCGAUAGGUGAGAAUGUCUGGAAUGAUUUCUCACUCAAAGGGCUUUAGAAACAUGCUUCUAAAGUCGCCUGGGGAUGGGGCCGCGUCCGAUCAGGUUGUUGGUGAGGUAAUGGCUCACCAAGCCUAUAACCGGUACGGGCCGUGAGAGCGGUAGCCCGGAGAUGGGUACUGAGACAAGGACCCAGGCCCUACGGGGCGCAGCAGUCGCGAAAACUCCGCAGUGCACGAAAGUGUGACGGGGCUACCCCGAGUGCCAUCCGCUGAGGAUGGCUUUUCCUUGGUAUAACUCGCCGGGGGAAUAAGGAGAGGGCAAGACUGGUGUCAGCCGCCGCGGUAAUACCAGCUCUCCGAGUGGUAGGGAUGAUUAUUGGGCUUAAAGCGUCCGUAGCCGGCUUAGCAAGUCUCCUGUUAAAUUCAGCGACCUAAUCGUUGAGCCGCGGGAGAUACUACUAGGCUAGGAGGCGGGAGAGGUCGACGGUACUUCUGGGGUAGGGGUGAAAUCCUAUAAUCCCGGAAGGACCACCAGUGGCGAAGGCUGUCGACUAGAACGCGCUCGACGGUGAGGGACGAAAGCUGGGGGAGCGAACCGGAUUAGAUACCCGGGUAGUCCCAGCCGUAAACGAUGCGGGCUAGGUGUUGGGGUGGCUACGUGCCACUUCAGUGCCGCAGGGAAGCCAUUAAGCCCGCCGCCUGGGGAGUACGGCCGCAAGGCUGAAACUUAAAGGAAUUGGCGGGGGAGCACCACAAGGCGUGAAGCUUGCGGUUCAAUUGGAUUCAACGCCGGAA
rnacentral:rRNA from 1 species